CCUACGGGAGGCUGCAGUGGGGAAUAUUGGACAAUGGGGGAAACCCUGAUCCAGCGACGCCGCGUGAGUGAAGAAGUAUUUCGGUACGUAAAGCUCUAUCAGCAGGAAAGAAAAUGACGGUACCUGAGUAAGAAGCCCCGGCUAACUACGUGCCAGCAGCCGCGGUAAUACGUAGGGGGCAAGCGUUAUCCGGAUUUACUGGGUGGAAAGGGAGCGUAGGCGGUGCGCCAAGUCUGGAGUGAAAUGCCGUAGCUUAACUGCGGAACUGCUGUGGAAACUGGCGAACUAGAGUGCGGGAGGGGUAAGCGGAAUUCGUAGUGUAGCGGUGAAAUGCGUAGAUAGUAGGAGGAACACCGAUGGCGAAGGCAGCUUACUGGAGCGUAACUGACGUUGAGGCUCGAAGGCGUGGGGAGCGAACAGGAUUAGAUACCCGUGUAGUC
rnacentral:rRNA from 1 species